GCGGGAAUAGCUCAGCUGGUAGAGCAUCACGUUGCCAACGUGAAUGUCGCGAGUUCGAAUCUCGUUUCCCGCU
rfam:Candidatus Thioglobus autotrophicus strain EF1, complete genome.